GAUGAACGCUGGCGGCGUGCCUAAUACAUGCAAGUCGAGCGAACAGACGAGGAGCUUGCUCCUCUGACGUUAGCGGCGGACGGGUGAGUAACACGUGGAUAACCUACCUAUAAGACUGGGAUAACUUCGGGAAACCGGAGCUAAUACCGGAUAAUAUAUUGAACCGCAUGGUUCAAUAGUGAAAGACGGUUUUGCUGUCACUUAUAGAUGGAUCCGCGCCGCAUUAGCUAGUUGGUAAGGUAACGGCUUACCAAGGCAACGAUGCGUAGCCGACCUGAGAGGGGGAUCGGCCACACGGGAACUGAGACACGGUCCAGACUCCUACGGGAGGCAGCAGUAGGGAAUCUUCCGCAAUGGGCGAAAGCCUGACGGAGCAACGCCGCGUGAGUGAUGAAGGUCUUCGGAUCGUAAAACUCUGUUAUUAGGGAAGAACAAAUGUGUAAGUAACUAUGCACGUCUUGACGGUACCUAAUCAGAAAGCCACGGCUAACUACGUGCCAGCAGCCGCGGUAA
rnacentral:rRNA from 1 species